rnacentral:rRNA from 1 species
UGGGGAAUUUUGGACAAUAGGCGAAAGCCUGAUCCAGCAAUGCCGCGUGUGUGAAGAAGGCCUUCGGGUUGUAAAGCACUUUUGUCCGGAAAGAAAUCCUUGGCUCUAAUACAGUCGGGGGAUGACGGUACCGGAAGAAUAAGCACCGGCUAACUACGUGCCAGCAGCCGCGGUAAUACGUAGGGUGCAAGCGUUAAUCGGAAUUACUGGGCGUAAAGCGUGCGCAGGCGGUUUGCUAAGACCGAUGUGAAAUCCCCGGGCUCAACCUGGGAACUGCAUUGGUGACUGGCAGGCUAGAGUAUGGCAGAGGGGGGUAGAAUUCCACGUGUAGCAGUGAAAUGCGUAGAGAUGUGGAGGAAUACCGAUGGCGAAGGCAGCCCCCUGGGCCAAAUACUGACGCUCAUGCACGAAAGCGUGGGGGAGCAAAACAGGAUUAGAUACCCCUGGGUAGUCCACGCCCUAAACGAUGUCAACUAGUUGUUGGGGAUUCAUUUCCUUAGUAACGUAGCUAACGCGUGAAGUUGACCGCCUGGGGGAGUACGGUCGCAAGAUUAAAACUUAAAGGAAUUGACGGGGUCAUAGCUGUUU